GGGAGUUGAGGCUCUGGCCCUGAUGUUGGCCUCUGGAUUGUUUCCAGCUGAGGUGGGGCUUCUUACUGUAUAAAAGCAGAGUCGGUUCACUGCUGCGUCUGUGGAUCUGCACUCCAGCACUCAGUGAGUCCACCAGCAGCUUUCUGAGCUUCAUCACCAUAAAAUGCUUUGGAUCUGACCUGAAGUUCGGCAAUGUCGUGGUAUAGCGGAGGACACCAGUAUCCCCAUGGCUGCUUUCCUGAGCCAGGAGGAUACCAUCAGUGUCCACCGUGGACUGCCCCUCCUCAGGUCUGCCCUCAUCAGCCCUGUGGUCCUCGGCCCUGUGGUCCUCCUCCCU